rnacentral:lncRNA from 1 species
CCCAUCGCCACUACACAAGGUGGCCGCCAGCCCUGAGCCCCUGAAGAGGAUGGCAGCUACAGUGGGCUUUCCUGAGUUGAGUCAGGUUCCCGUGGAACCUCCAGAGUCAAGUCAGAUUCCUGUCGACCCUCCAGAGUCGAGUCAGGUUCCAGUCGGCCCUCCAGAGUCGAGUCAUAUUCCCGUUGACCCUCCAGAGUCGAGUCAGGUUCCAGUUGACCCACCUGAGUUGAGUCAGGUUCCCGUUGACCCUCCAGAGUUGAGUCAGGUUCCAGUUGACUAUCCAGAGUUUAGUCAGGUUCCUGUUGACCAUCCAGAGUCGAGUCACGUUCCAGUUGAUCCUCCUUAAUCAAGUCAGAUUCCUGUUGACCUUCCAGAGUCGAGUCAGGUGCCCGUUGACUUUCCAAAGUUGAGUCAGGUUCCGGUCGACCCUCUAAAGUCGAGUCAGGUGCUUGUGGACCCUCCAGAGUCAAGUCAGGUGCUCAUGGACCCUCCAGAGUCGAGUCAGGUGCUCAUGGACCCUCCAGAGUCAGGGUUAGUCACCGUCGACCUUCCAGAGUUAGGGCUAGACACCAUCGACUUUCCAGAGUCAGGGUCAGUCACUGUUGACCUUCCAGAGUCAGGGCUAGUUCCUGUUGACCUUCCAGAGUCGAGUCAGGUGCUCGUGGACCCUCCAGAGUCGAGUCAGGUGCUCGUGGUCCCUCCAGAGCCAGGGUUAGUCACCGUUGACCCUCCAGAGUGUCCACUAGUGGGCUCACUUCCCCUUAGGCACUUCACCGUAGGUGCUAGAAUUCCUCUAGUCUUGUCCUGUCAUCACAGUAAUUGCACUCCUGUUAAUUGCACCAGGUGCAGUAACUUUAUUGUCAUUAGCCUUCCUAUAAAUUUCAGUCUUUUCCUGUUGUUUGUAUGGAGUCAUUACCUUUCAUGUUUACAGCCUUCUCGUCCUCAGAGAUUCCCCUUUGUCUUCUCGUCCUCCGAGACCCCUCUUUUUCUGAGUUCCCAUUCCUGUCCCUUUCCUUUGUUUGUUUUGGACUGCCUUUUUGGUUUUGACCUUGGCUUGUGUUUUGGAUUACGAUUUGGAUUACCCUUUAAUAAACAUACCUGCGAUUGGAUCUUACUCUCUCCUGUGUCUCUCUGUACACGAUCGUCACAGUAUUCCACAGCUCUGUGUUCCUUUCAGCAGCGAUUGUGUCAGAAGACCUGACCGAAACAGUUUAAUCUGUGUGUUUCCUCCAUUCUUGUUUUUGUGUUUGUUUACGUUGUGUGUUUCUAUGGAUCCCCUCUUCUGUCCGGAAAACUGCUUGAGAUCGCUUGAGGGCUAUACCAUACUAUUCCUGGUCCUCGCUGCUCUAACCAGCUACCCGGAUGAUGUGCUCUGUGCAUUCUAUGUUACCAUUUUAAACAUCUCGUGCAGAGUGCUGUUAUCUGAAGAUGGUCGAAUUUUGGCCCCCGUCUUGACUGAUGAGCCACUGCUGUAUGGCGCAACAGUGCUUAAGGGACAAGAGACAAUGCUUCAGACAGUGAGAGCACUGAGUGGAGCUUUGCACCGCAGCAGAGGGUGAGCUGAUUUUACAGCUGGGACUGCUGGACUUUGAGAAGGACCUUAUAGAUGGGGAAAACAAAGCUUAAACCCAACCUUCCCCCACUCUUCUCUCCUUCGUCCCCACUGGUCUCAUCCAGCCCUGAGUGAGCUUCCGUGUCCCAGUUCAGCCUAGAGAUCAGGGAUGUAGUGGAGGCUAAACGCACGUAAACGCCGUUUACGCACCUUCCAACAUUCGGAGCAUUUAUCAACCUCUUAAUUGAGUUUAUCCACCUCUAAAUAGCCUACAGUUCCU